rnacentral:lncRNA from 1 species
GACUAAUUAUCUUUCUCAAAAAUUCCUACAAAAUAAAAAAAAUUGGAUAACUGAAAAAUAAAAUAUUGGGUUGCCUCCCAACAAACGUUAAGUUUAAGGUCUUCAGCUAGACCAAACUAAAGUUCAAUUGUAGACUGGAUCCUGCAAUUCAAUUGAGUCAACUUGCUCACCAUCCCUGAUUUCAUCCCCAUAAUGUUUCAAUCGUUGGUCA